GGCCGCCUGGCGAAAUGGCAUCGCGUCUGACUACGAUUCGUUGUGAUCAGGAGAUUGCAGGUUCGACCCCUGCGGUGGUCA
rfam:Phlebia centrifuga strain FBCC195 PHLCENscaffold_1551, whole genome shotgun sequence.